rnacentral:rRNA from 1 species
UACGUAGGGUGCAAGCGUUGUCCGGAAUUAUUGGGCGUAAAGAGCUCGUAGGCGGUCUGUUGCGUCGGCUGUGAAAACCCGGGGCUCAACUCCGGGCCUGCAGCCGAUACGGGCAGACUAGAGUUCGGCAGGGGAGGACUGGAAUUCCUGGUGUAGCGGUGAAAUGCGCAGAUAUCAGGAGGAACACCGGUGGCGAAGGCGGGUCUCUGGGCCGAUACUGACGCUGAGGAGCGAAAGCGUGGGGAGCGAACAGG